rnacentral:rRNA from 1 species
UACAGAGGUCUCAAGCGUUGUUCGGAUUCAUUGGGCGUAAAGGGUGUGUAGGUGGCGCGCUAAGUCGGGUGUGAAAUUUCGGAGCUUAACUCCGAAACUGCAUUUGAUACUGGCGUGCUUGAGGACUGGAGAGGAGACUGGAAUUCAUGGUGUAGCAGUGAAAUGCGUAGAUAUCAGGAGGAACACCGGUGGCGAAGGCGGCUCUCUGGACGGAUACUGACGCUGAGGCGCGAAAGCGUGGGGAUCAAACAGG